CUUGUCCUCACCAAGGUUCGGAACAGUAGCUAGCUGUAAGUAUCAAGUAGUAAGGUUUGAACUAUAAUACAUCCUUUCUACUUUCUACUGACUACUUUCUACUAGUCCAUUCCGAGCUUUAGUGAGGAAUGAAGGCGAGUGGCGGACGGCUGAGUAACGCGUGGGAACGUGCCCCAAACUGAGGGAUAACGCACCGAAAGGUGUGCUAAUACCGCAUAUGCUCUUCGGAGUAAAGCUUCGGCGGUUUGGGAGCGGCCGCGUCCGAUUAGCUAGUUGGUGAGGUAAAGGCUUACCAAGGCGACGAUCGGUAGCUGGUCUGAGAGGAUGAUCAGCCAGACUGGAACUGAGACACGGUCCAGACUCCUACGGGAGGCAGCAGUAAGGAAUCUUCCACAAUGGGGGCAACCCUGAUGGAGCAACGCCGCGUGAAGGAUGAAGGCCCUCGGGUCGUAAACUUCUUUUAUAAGUGAGGAAUAUGACGGUAGCUUAUGAAUAAGGAUCGGCUAACUACGUG
rnacentral:rRNA from 1 species